CCUGCUUAGAGUGAAAUAUAUUACUAACAUAUUUUACGAUCACUGUUCUUUGGGAUCAAAUAAUAUUAAUCAGCGCAUAACCAAGUCCCAUGGAAAAAAGAAUAAUUAGGUUGCACCGAGCACUAUUGUUCAUUCUGGAUCAGUCUGAGGUUGAUCUUCUUUGCUUGGAAUAUCCAGACUGCUUGAUGGGACAUCUUUUUAAUCUGCUUGCAUGAAUCCAC